GUUGUAUAGUUAAGUGACUAAGCGUACAAGGUGGAUGCCUUGGCAAUCAGAGGCGAAGAAGGACGUGCUAAUCUGCGAAAAGCUUGGAUGAGUCGAUAAGAGGCGUUUAAUCCAAGAUAUCCGAAUGGGGAAACCCAGUAGAUGAAGAAUCUACUAUCAACAAGUGAAUUCAUAGCUUGUUGAGGCAAACCGGGAGAACUGAAACAUCUAAGUACCCCGAGGAAAAGAAAUCAACCGAGAUUUCGUCAGUAGCGGCGAGCGAAAGCGAAAGAGCCAGUAAGUGAUAGCAGUAUAGUGAGGAGAAUGUGUUGGGAAGCACAAUCAAAGAGGGUGAUAAUCCCGUAUCUAAAAACCAUAUUGUGGUACUAAGCUAACGAGAAGUAGGGCGGGACACGUGAUAUCCUGUUUGAAGAAGGGGGGACCAUCCUCCAAGGCUAAAUACUCCUGAUUGACCGAUAGUGAACCAGUACUGUGAAGGAAAGGCGAAAAGAACCCCGGUGAGGGGAGUGAAAUAGAACCUGAAACCUUGUACGUACAAGCAGUGGGAGCCCCAUCACUUAAUCCGAUUGGAAGGUGAUGAAAAGCAACCGCACUUAAACAAUGGUAAGAGGAGCGAAGCGAGUCAAACCACCCAAAAGAAGCAGUGGGAUUAAGUGAUGGGGUGACUGCGUACCUUUUGUAUAAUGGGUCAGCGACUUAUAUUUUGUAGCGAGGUUAACCGAAUAGGGGAGCCGAAGGGAAACCGAGUCUUAACUGGGCGAAUAGUUGCAAGGUAUAGACCCGAAACCCGGUGAUCUAGCCAUGGGCAGGUUGAAGGUUGGGUAACACUAACUGGAGGACCGAACCGACUAAUGUUGAAAAAUUAGCGGAUGACUUGUGGCUGGGGGUGAAAGGCCAAUCAAACCGGGAGAUAGCUGGUUCUCCCCGAAAUCUAUUUAGGUAGAGCCUUGAGGUGACACCUUUGGGGGUAGAGCACUGUUUCGGCUAGGGGUCCAUCCCGGAUUACCAACCCGAUGCAAACUACGAAUACCAAAGAGUGAUACUCAGGAGACACACGGCGGGUGCUAACGUCCGUCGUGGAGAGGGAAACAACCCAGACCGCCAGCUAAGGUCCCCAAGUCUAUAUUAAGUGGGAAACGAAGUGGGAAGGCUUAGACAGCUAGGAUGUUGGCUUAGAAGCAGCCAUCAUUUAAAGAAAGCGUAAUAGCUCACUAGUCGAGUCGGCCUGCGCGGAAGAUGUAACGGGGCUGAAAUAUAGCACCGAAGCUGCGGCAUCAGGCGUAUCACUAAUACGCCUUACGAUUAACAAGCUAGAAUGGCGCGAAGCGACAUGAAAGGUUGUUCAAGCAACCCGAACGUUGAGUCGGGCAUCUUAGAGUGAGGAUGAUUAGUGAUACGCCUGUUGGGUAGGGGAGCGUUGUGUAAGCGGA
rnacentral:rRNA from 1 species